rnacentral:rRNA from 1 species
GAUGAACGCUAGCGGAAGGCAUAAUACAUGCUAGUCGAACGGAUGUAGCAAUACAUUAGUGGCGCACGGGUGCGUAACGCGUAUGCAACCUACCUUCAUCAGGGGGAUAACUACCCGAAAGGGUGGCUAACACCGCAUAAUACUAUUGAGUGGCAUCACUUGAUAUUUAAAUCUGAGGAGGAUGAAGAUGGGCAUGCGUCUGAUUAGCUAGUUGGUGUGGUAACGGCGCACCAAGGCGACGAUCAGUAGGGGAACUGAGAGGUUGGUCCCCCACACUGGCACUGAGGUACGGGCCAGACUCCUACGGGAGGCAGCAGUAGGGAAUAUUGGUCAAUGGUGGGAACACUGAACCAGCCAUUCCGCGUGCAGGAAGAAGGGUCUCUGACUUGUAAACUGCUUUAGCAAGGGAAGAAAAAGCUCAUGCGUGAGAAAUUGACGGUACCUUGAGAAUAAGCACCGGCUAACUACGUGCCAGCCGCCGCAGUAAUAC